GACUGUUCCCCUCUGGAGGUUUUGAAAACCUUCAUAUCUCAGGGCCGCGGAUUUAUCCGGCGGCCCAUUUUUUUGCUUUAG
rnacentral:misc_RNA from 1 species